UGAGGAAUAUUGGGCAAUGCCCGCAAGGGUGACCCAGCAACGCCGCGUGGAGGAUGAAUGUCGUAAGAUUGUAAACUCCUGUUAGAGGGGAAGAAUAGUACCGGUUGGACCGGUAUAUGACUGUACCCUCAGAGAAAGCCCCGGCUAACUACGUGCCAGCAGCCGCGGUAAUACGUAGGGGGCAAGCGUUGUCCGGAUUUACUGGGUGUAAAGGGCGCGCAGGCGGGAUAAAAAGUCAGUGGUGAAAUCCUACAGCUUAACUGUAGAACUUCCUUUGAUACUUUUAUUGUUGAGGUCGGGAGAGAGAGACGGAAUUCCAGGUGUAGUGGUGAAAUACGUAGAGAUCUGGAAGAACACCAGUUGCGAAGGCGGUCUCUUGGUACGACACUGACGCUGAGGCGCGAAAGCGUGGGGAGCAAA
rnacentral:rRNA from 1 species